rnacentral:rRNA from 1 species
GGGCGAAAGCCUGAUGGAGCAACGCCGCGUGAGUGAAGAAGGAUUUCGGUUCGUAAAACUCUGUUGUAAGGGAAGAACAAGUACAGUAGUAACUGGCUGUACCUUGACGGUACCUUAUUAGAAAGCCACGGCUAACUACGUGCUAGCAGCCGUGGUAAUACGUAGGUGGCAAGCGUUGUCCGGAAUUAUUGGGUGUAAAGCGCGCGCAGGUGGUUUCUUAAGUCUGAUGUGAAAGCCCACGGCUCAACCGUGGAGGGUCAUUGGAAACUGGGAGACUUGAGUGCAGAAGAGGAUAGUGGAAUUCCAAGUGUAGCGGUGAAAUGCGUAGAGAUUUGGAGGAACACCAGUGGCGAAGGCGACUAUCUGGUCUGUAACUGACACUGAGGCGCGAAAGCGUGGGGAGCAAACAGGAUUAGAUACCCUGGUAGUCCACGCCGUAAACGAUGAGUGCUAAGUGUUAGGGGGUUUCCGCCCCUUAGUGCUGCAGCUAACGCAUUAAGCACUCCGCCUGGGGAGUACGGUCGCAAGACUGAAACU